rnacentral:rRNA from 5 species
GGAUGCGAUCAUACCAGCACUAAAGCACCGGAUCCCAUCAGAACUCCGAAGUUAAGCGUGCUUGGGCGAGAGUAGUACUAGGAUAGGUGACCUCCUGGGAAGUCCUCGUGUUGCAUUCC